CUUUACGGGAGGCAGCAGUAAGGAAUAUUCCACAAUGAGCGAAAGCUUGAUGGAGCGACACAGAGUGCAGGAUGAAGUCUUUAGGGAUGUAAACUGCUGUUGUAAGGGAAGAAAAAACUAGAUAGGAAAUGAUUUAGUCUUGACGGUACCUUAUUAGAAAGUGACGGCAAACUAUGUGCCAGCAGCCGCGGUAAUACAUAGGUCGCAAGCGUUAUCCGGAAUUAUUGGGCGUAAAGCGUCCGCAGGUUUUUUGUUAAGUUUAAGGUUAAAUGCUAAAGCUCAACUUUAGUUCGCUUUAGAUACUGACAAAAUAGAAUUAUGAAGAGGCUAGCGGAAUUCCUAGUGGAGCGGUGGAAUGCGUAGAUAUUAGGAAGAACACCAAUAGGCGAAGGCAGCUAACUGGUCAUAUAUUGACACUAAUGGACGAAAGCGUGGGGAGCAAACAGGAUUAGAUACCCUGGUAGUCC
rnacentral:rRNA from 1 species